UGCCGGACAAUGUGUUGUGUCACACGGGGAAUAGAGAGGCUGAACCCAUCGCCACGCUGAAGAAAACACACCGGCCAUGAAACGCCUGACCCACUUCCUAGUUCUCUUCGCCUGCGCGUUUUAUGCUCUAGCUGCCAGAGGCAGGAAACAAAGGUUAUGUGCGGGACCAUACUCUUUUCGUCCCUGCCGUGGAGGAGGCGCACGAACUUGGGGUUUUGAUUUAGGUCUCCAAAUGUGCAAAUUAUUCGUCGCUACAAGUUGUAGUUCAACCAAAAGACGUUUUUUGUCAGAAAAAAUGUGUCAACAUACGUGUCUGCCACCGCAACGACGAAAACUGUUGUGCAGCCUCGCACCAAAACCGGGCCCUUGCUCUCCGCUAGUGAAAGCCUGGCACUUUGAUGCCGAGACUGGCUUCUGUAAACGUUUUCCAUCAGGAUUUUGCAGUAACAAUCCUAACAGUUUUCCGUCGUGUGAAUCUUGCAUGAACAGAUGCAUCGACGGAAACACUGCAGCACUCUGCCAUCGGUCUCCUUAAACAAGCAGAAAACCAAAACUGGGACCGGCACGACCUAUAUUAUAGGAACUACGCCGACCGAAACCGCCCGAAUAGGAAGAUCUAUCCUUCUUAUCGGACGCUCGAAGCACACACAAUGGUGUCAGAAUAAUCCAUUUGGCUAUGACGACAUCAUGACGUUUUUAUAAAAAAAGAAAGCAUGGGGUGUCUUACUGUUCGGUUCACGAUCAGCACCUCACAGCACGUGACAACAGUACCAAGCCCAGUACAGCGUUCUAGAGAUGGUACUGCGUGUAAACAGUGUGUGUGUGUUUCAAUCUGUCGCGUUGCUGUGAGCUGCAACAUGAUUUCACCUUUUUUACACCACAUCGCCCACAAAUACUGAGCGCGUCCUCAACAAGGAAGUAUGUGCCAAUGAAAUUUUCAUAUGGCGAUUUCGCCACAGGCCAAAUCAUCAAACGUAAUAUAAUAAAUAUGUAAAAUUUAUCAAGGUUACAGACAGUGACGCUUCCAUUCAACUUUGCUCUCAUAUUAAAUGUAGCCCCAAACGCACACAACUGUGGAAAAAAGUGGAAUAUCACGACAAUUAAGUGACACAUGUUAUGACGAUUCAGA